UUAAGCGACUAAGCGUACACGGUGGAUGCCCUGGCAGUCAGAGGCGAUGAAGGACGUGCUAAUCUGCGAAAAGCGUCGGUAAGGUGAUAUGAACCGUUAUAACCGGCGAUGUCCGAAUGGGGAAACCCAGUGUGAUUCGUCACACUAUCGUUAACUGAAUACAUAGGUUAACGAGGCGAACCGGGGGAACUGAAACAUCUAAGUACCCCGAGGAAAAGAAAUCAACCGAGAUUCCCCCAGUAGCGGCGAGCGAACGGGGAGCAGCCCAGAGUCUGAAUCAGCUUGUGUGUUAGUGGAACGGUCUGGAAAGUCCGACGGUACAGGGUGAUAGUCCCGUACACCAAAAUGCACAGGUUGUGAACUCGAAGAGUAGGGCGGGACACGUGGUAUCCUGUCUGAAUAUGGGGGGACCAUCCUCCAAGGCUAAAUACUCCUGACUGACCGAUAGUGAACCAGUACCGUGAGGGAAAGGCGAAAAGAACCCCGGCGAGGGGAGUGAAAAAGAACCUGAAACCGUGUACGUACAAGCAGUGGGAGCACCUUCGGGUGUGACUGCGUACCUUUUGUAUAAUGGGUCAGCGACUUAUAUUCUGUAGCAAGGUUAACCGUAUAGGGGAGCCGCAGGGAAACCGAGUCUUAACUGGGCGUUAAGUUGCAGGGUAUAGACCCGAAACCCGGUGAUCUAGCCAUGGGCAGGUUGAAGGUUGGGUAACACUAACUGGAGGACCGAACCGACUAAUGUUGAAAAAUUAGCGGAUGACUUGUGGCUGGGGGUGAAAGGCCAAUCAAACCGGGAGAUAGCUGGUUCUCCCCGAAAGCUAUUUAGGUAGCGCCUCGUGAAUUCAUCUUCGGGGGUAGAGCACUGUUUCGGCUAGGGGGUCAUCCCGACUUACCAACCCGAUGCAAACUACGAAUACCGAAGAAUGUUAUCACGGGAGACACACGGCGGGUGCUAACGUCCGUCGUGAAGAGGGAAACAACCCAGACCGCCAGCUAAGGUCCCAAAGUCAUGGUUAAGUGGGAAACGAUGUGGGAAGGCACAGACAGCCAGGAUGUUGGCUUAGAAGCAGCCAUCAUUUAAAGAAAGCGUAAUAGCUCACUGGUCGAGUCGGCCUGCGCGGAAGAUGUAACGGGGCUAAACCAUGCACCGAAGCUGCGGCAGCGACACUAUGUGUUGUUGGGUAGGGGAGCGUUCUGUAAGCCUGCGAAGGUGGCCUGUGAGGGUUGCUGGAGGUAUCAGAAGUGCGAAUGCUGACAUAAGUAACGAUAAAGCGGGUGAAAAGCCCGCUCGCCGGAAGACCAAGGGUUCCUGUCCAACGUUAAUCGGGGCAGGGUGAGUCGACCCCUAAGGCGAGGCCGAAAGGCGUAGUCGAUGGGAAACAGGUUAAUAUUCCUGUACUUGGUGUUACUGCGAAGGGGGGACGGAGAAGGCUAUGUUAGCCGGGCGACGGUUGUCCCGGUUUAAGCAUGUAGGCUGGUUAUCCAGGCAAAUCCGGAUAAUCAAGGCUGAGGUGUGAUGACGAGGCACUACGGUGCUGAAGUAACAAAUGCCCUGCUUCCAGGAAAAGCCUCUAAGCAUCAGGUAACAUUAAAUCGUACCCCAAACCGACACAGGUGGUCAGGUAGAGAAUACCAAGGCGCUUGAGAGAACUCGGGUGAAGGAACUAGGCAAAAUGGUGCCGUAACUUCGGGAGAAGGCACGCUGGUGUGUAGGUGAAGUCCCUGCGGAUGGAGCUGAGACCAGUCGAAGAUACCAGCUGGCUGCAACUGUUUAUUAAAAACACAGCACUGUGCAAACACGAAAGUGGACGUAUACGGUGUGACGCCUGCCCGGUGCCGGAAGGUUAAUUGAUGGGGUUAUCCGUAAGGAGAAGCUCUUGAUCGAAGCCCCGGUAAACGGCGGCCGUAACUAUAACGGUCCUAAGGUAGCGAAAUUCCUUGUCGGGUAAGUUCCGACCUGCACGAAUGGCGUAAUGAUGGCCAGGCUGUCUCCACCCGAGACUCAGUGAAAUUGAACUCGCUGUGAAGAUGCAGUGUACCCGCGGCAAGACGGAAAGACCCCGUGAACCUUUACUAUAGCUUGACACUGAACAUUGAGCCUUGAUGUGUAGGAUAGGUGGGAGGCUUUGAAGCGUGGACGCCAGUCUGCGUGGAGCCAACCUUGAAAUACCACCCUUUAAUGUUUGAUGUUCUAACGUUGGCCCCUGACCGGGGUUGCGGACAGUGUCUGGUGGGUAGUUUGACUGGGGCGGUCUCCUCCCAAAGCGUAACGGAGGAGCACGAAGGUUAGCUAAUCCUGGUCGGACAUCAGCAACUGUCUUGAAGGUAAAAAUUAUGGAGCAACGUGGUGGUACGACUCAUCCCAUUCUUCGUUCUUUCUGAGCAUUGCGUUCAGGAUGGUAAGCAGCUUACGCAUACAGGCUACCAGCGCCACUUUUUUGGCCUUUCCGGCUGCAAGCAGGCGCACAUAAAACGUUUUUAUCACCGGAUUAAAGCGGGUUGCCACAAGCGCAGCCAUGUACAGUGCUGAUCUUACGCCAGCCCUGCCGCCAAAAAUGGUUCGCCGGCCACGCAUAGUCCCUGAGUCCCGGUUGACAGGAGCAACACCUAUAAGCGCACUGAUUUCGCGCCGGGAGAGCGUUCCCAGUUCCGGAAUCUCCGCCAACAUCGCGGAAACGGUCAUGGUGCCUACACCUUUGAUACUGCUCAGGCGCUCAGCAAUCUCUUUAAAGUGGUUCCGGAUGUGACUGUUCAUGUCUUUCUCGAGCCUGGCAAGCUCAUCUUCCAGCGCUUUAAUGAUGGUAUUAAUGCUUUUCUUGUUCUGUGGAUGGGAUGGAUACAGUCGGUUACGCUCAGCCACCAACAUCGCAAUCAACUGGCGUCUGCGAACCACCAUUGCAGCAAGGGCCUGACGUUCAGCAUCCGGCAGUGCCCUGAUAAAGCGUUUCCGCUCAGGAUGACGAUUAAUAACCUCAGCCAUCUGCGUGAGGACUCUGGCAUCAAUUCGGUCGGUCUUCGCAAGAUAUCCCAUUGCACGGGCGAAGUCACGGGCCUGCCUGGGAUUGACCACGGCAACCUCAAAACCUUCGGCCUGAAGCGAACAGGCCACCGCAACCUCCAGCCCACCAGUGGCCUCCAUCAGAACCAGAGCAACGGAGUGCCGUCUCAGUCCAGUAAUAAUCGCGUUAAAGCCAUCAGAGUCAUUGCUGACUGUAAACUGAGCAACAUCACUGCUGGCAGCGAUGUCCAGUGUGGCUUUGGAAACAUCGAUGCCCACACAAAGUGGAUUUGGCUGACUCAUUUUUACCCCUCCUUGCAAAUACGUUAUGGAAUACGGACAACUGUUCGGGUUUCAGAUGAGUGGCUCAGCGUAUGCGCCAGUCGCUGAUAUACGGGCUUGAACCCUGGAAGGCAUCGGGCUGCAUACGUUUUGCCAAAUCUAAUCGUAUUAAUUUUAAUCAGUCUUCAAGAUACAAGGAGCACGAAGGUUAGCUAAUCCUGGUCGGACAUCAGGAGGUUAGUGCAAUGGCAUAAGCUAGCUUGACUGCGAGCGUGACGGCGCGAGCAGGUGCGAAAGCAGGUCAUAGUGAUCCGGUGGUUCUGAAUGGAAGGGCCAUCGCUCAACGGAUAAAAGGUACUCCGGGGAUAACAGGCUGAUACCGCCCAAGAGUUCAUAUCGACGGCGGUGUUUGGCACCUCGAUGUCGGCUCAUCACAUCCUGGGGCUGAAGUAGGUCCCAAGGGUAUGGCUGUUCGCCAUUUAAAGUGGUACGCGAGCUGGGUUUAGAACGUCGUGAGACAGUUCGGUCCCUAUCUGCCGUGGGCGCUGGAGAAUUGAGGGGGGCUGCUCCUAGUACGAGAGGACCGGAGUGGACGCAUCACUGGUGUUCGGGUUGUCAUGCCAAUGGCACUGCCCGGUAGCUAAAUGCGGAAGAGAUAAGUGCUGAAAGCAUCUAAGCACGAAACUUGCCCCGAGAUGAGUUCUCCCUGAGACUUUAAGUCUCCUGAAGGAACGUUGAAGACGACGACGUUGAUAGGCCGGGUGUGUAAGCGCAGCGAUGCGUUGAGCUAACCGGUACUAAUGAACCGUGAGGCUUAACCUU
rnacentral:rRNA from 1 species